AAAUCUUCAUUUUGCCACUUUCGACCCCUACAGAAUAAUCGUGCGAUCUCAAAAAUCCGUCCAUCAGAUUUGCUAACGGACUGCACCAGUGCUUCCGGCAUUGCCGAACCAUGAAAACCACGAUUUUUUUUUCACCCGAUUCGAUCGCAAAUUUGCGACAAAUCCAUCCUCUCUCCGUCUCCACGUAACCAUCAAUACAUAUAUAUAAGCUUUAUAUAUAUAAAAAAAUUAAUUUUAAUUUAAAUUCAAAUUUUGAAUUCCCCUCUUAAAAAGUUUAGAUAUUACAGUUCGAUUAAUAUAUAUAAAAUAGAGAGAGAGAUGUGCAAGUUGUCCUUUUCAAGAUCGAUAGUUGUAGGGUCGAUACGUUGAGAAGGGCA
rnacentral:lncRNA from 1 species